rnacentral:rRNA from 2 species
UUCCGUAGGUGAACCUGCGGAAGGAUCAUUGUC